rnacentral:lncRNA from 1 species
CAUCCCCUAUGAGAGACGGCUUCUCAUCAUGGCGGACCCUAGAGAUAAGGCGCUUCAGGACUACCGCAAGAAGUUGCUUGAACACAAGGAGAUCGACGGCCGUCUUAAGGAGUUAAGGGAACAAUUAAAAGAACUUACCAAGCAGUAUGAAAAGUCUGAAAAUGAUCUGAAGGCCCUACAGAGUGUUGGGCAGAUCGUGGGUGAAGUGCUUAAACAGUUAACUGAAGAAAAAUUCAUUGUUAAAGCUACCAAUGGACCAAGAUAUGUUGUGGGUUGUCGUCGACAGAUAUUUGCCGAGAGAGGUGGAUCCACUGGUUUAUAACAUGUCUCAUGAGGACCCUGGGAAUGUUUCUUAUUCUGAGAUUGGAGGGCUAUCAGAACAGAUCCGGGAAUUAAGAGAGGUGAUAGAAUUACCUCUUACAAACCCAGAGUUAUUUCAGCGUGUAGGAAUAAUACCUCCAAAAGGCUGUUUGUUAUAUGGACCACCAGGUACGGGAAAAACACUCUUGGCACGAGCCGUUGCUAGCCAGCUGGACUGCAAUUUCUUAAAGGUUGUAUCUAGUUCUAUUGUAGACAAGUACAUUGGUGAAAGUGCUCGUUUGAUCAGAGAAAUGUUUAAUUAUGC